GAUGAACGCUAGCGGCAGGCUUAACACAUGCAAGUCGAGGGGUAUGCCGAUUUAUCGGCAGAGACCGGCGCACGGGUGCGUAACGCGUAUGCAAUCUACCUUUUCACAGAGGGAUAGCCCAGAGAAGUUUGGAUUAAUACCUCAUAGUAUAGCAGUUUCGCAUGAAACCACUAUUAAAGUUCCAACGGUGAAAGAUGAGCAUGCGUCCCAUUAGCUAGAUGGUAAGGUAACGGCUUACCAUGGCUACGAUGGGUAGGGGUCCUGAGAGGGAGAUCCCCCACACUGGU
rnacentral:rRNA from 1 species